rnacentral:rRNA from 1 species
UAGGGAAUCUUGCACAAUGGGGGAAACCCUGAUGCAGCGAUGCCGCGUGAGUGAAGAAGACCUUUGGGUUGUAAAGCUCUUUCGUCGGGGAAGAAAAUGACUGUACCCGAAUAAGAAGCACCGGCUAACUUCGUGCCAGCAGCCGCGGUAAUACGAGGGGUGCUAGCGUUGUCCGGAAUCACUGGGCGUAAAGGGUACGUAGGCGUCCUGAUAAGCAUUGAUUGAAAUCCUUCGGCUUAACCGGAGAACUGGUCAGUGAACUGUCAGGAUAGAGUUUGGUAGAGGAAAGCGGAAUUCCCGGUGUAGCGGUGAAAUGCGUAGAUAUCGGGAGGAACAUCGACGGCGAAGGCAGCUUUCUGGGCCAAUACUGACGCUGAGGUACGAAAGCGUGGGUAGCGAACAGG